UCCCUUGUGCGCAGUCAUAGCGGGGACAGAGUCCUUUUGCCGCUUCUCAGAGCACGUGUUUUCUUAUCGUCGCUGUAUCGUCACGCUUUUUUAUUGUUGCUUUAUGGUAAACGUGUGAUUUCAUUAUAUUGCUAAAGUUUAAUAAGUGAAUGAAGUCGGAUACUGGAAAUUUUCGGUAGUUCUAUUUUUUUUCCUGCGUGAUAUACUCCGGAAGAAAAGAAGGACUGUAUUUUUUCUCCGUUGUAUAGUUCUGUCAUCAUUACUAAGGUGUACUCUUUGUGUUUUAAUCGCAUUUGUGAGGAUUUAAAAUUUAAAAAACCAAAGGUAGAAAUUAAUAUAUUUUUUUUUUAUAAAAAUUCCCACUUGUCUUUGGGAAAGUUAUCAAAAAAGUUCAUUGGCUAGAACUAGUUGUUUCUUGAAGUGUAAAUUUUUUCACGAUGGUGAAUGGGCGAGAGACUGAACUCUCAGUGCUUGGAUCUAGAUGAAAUAACCUAACCCGUACCCGUUUUUGUUUCUGUUUUGAUUCCCGGUGGCCCCCGCAACAAUGACCAUGGACAUUCACCAGCACAGCCUCCGAGUGGACACGACAGUGACCGGGCACAAGGGCCUCGACCAGUUCCACCAGACGAUGUCCCCCAAGUCCUCCCCCCGCUCUCCCGCGUCGGCUUCCCCCAAAACCUACCCUCAUACGACCCCCUCGCCGUACCACCUGGAAAAACCCCGCGCCAAGAGAAGCUUUGACGUCGCCUUCCUUAUCCAACCGGACGAUUUGUCAAAAAAGCGACAGCAGAAGUCCAAACCCAUCCCCACGCAACCCUUGAGCCACCCCGUACAGGAAAUGCCAAAAUCAAUGGGUUUCCGGACGCACACCUAUCGAAUUUGCUCCUUCAGAACGGGUACCUUUACGAACCACGGCAUACGUUGCAGGGCCUACCCCUGA
rnacentral:lncRNA from 1 species